UGCAAUGUAGCUCAGUGGAAGAGUGUUUGCCUAGUAUGCUAAAGGCCUUAGGUUCAAUCCCCAGCAUUGCAA
rfam:Cavia porcellus supercont2_29 genomic scaffold, whole genome shotgun sequence.